CGUUAUAACCGGCGAUUUCCGAAUGGGGAAACCCAGUGUGAUUCGUCACACUAUCAUUAACUGAAUCCAUAGGUUAAUGAGGCGAACCGGGGGAACUGAAACAUCUAAGUACCCCGAGGAAAAGAAAUCAACCGAGAUUCCCCCAGUAGCGGCGAGCGAACGGGGAGGAGCCCAGAGCCUGAAUCAGUGUGUGUGUUAGUGGAAGCGUCUGGAAAGGCGUGCGAUACAGGGUGACAGCCCCGUACACAAAAAUGCACAUACUGUGAGCUCGAUGAGUAGGGCGGGACACGUGGUAUCCUGUCUGAAUAUGGGGGGACCAUCCUCCAAGGCUAAAUACUCCUGACUGACCGAUAGUGAACCAGUACCGUGAGGGAAAGGCGAAAAGAACCCCGGCGAGGGGAGUGAAAAAGAACCUGAAACCGUGUACGUACAAGCAGUGGGAGCCUCUUAAUGGGGUGACUGCGUACCUUUUGUAUAAUGGGUCAGCGACUUAUAUUCUGUAGCAAGGUUAACCGAAUAGGGGAGCCGAAGGGAAACCGAGUCUUAACUGGGCGUUAAGUUGCAGGGUAUAGACCCGAAACCCGGUGAUCUAGCCAUGGGCAGGUUGAAGGUUGGGUAACACUAACUGGAGGACCGAACCGACUAAUGUUGAAAAAUUAGCGGAUGACUUGUGGCUGGGGGUGAAAGGCCAAUCAAACCGGGAGAUAGCUGGUUCUCCCCGAAAGCUAUUUAGGUAGCGCCUCGUGAAUUCAUCUCCGGGGGUAGAGCACUGUUUCGGCAAGGGGGUCAUCCCGACUUACCAACCCGAUGCAAACUGCGAAUACCGGAGAAUGUUAUCACGGGAGACACACGGCGGGUGCUAACGUCCGUCGUGAAGAGGGAAACAACCCAGACCGCCAGCUAAGGUCCCAAAGUCAUGGUUAAGUGGGAAACGAUGUGGGAAGGCCCAGACAGCCAGGAUGUUGGCUUAGAAGCAGCCAUCAUUUAAAGAAAGCGUAAUAGCUCACUGGUCGAGUCGGCCUGCGCGGAAGAUGUAACGGGGCUAAACCAUGCACCGAAGCUGCGGCAGCGACACUAUGUGUUGUUGGGUAGGGGAGCGUUCUGUAAGCCUGUGAAGGUGUACUGUGAGGUAUGCUGGAGGUAUCAGAAGUGCGAAUGCUGACAUAAGUAACGAUAAAGCGGGUGAAAAGCCCGCUCGCCGGAAGACCAAGGGUUCCUGUCCAACGUUAAUCGGGGCAGGGUGAGUCGACCCCUAAGGCGAGGCCGAAAGGCGUAGUCGAUGGGAAACAGGUUAAUAUUCCUGUACUUGGUGUUACUGCGAAGGGGGGACGGAGAAGGCUAUGUUGGCCGGGCGACGGUUGUCCCGGUUUAAGCGUGUAGGCUGGUUUUCCAGGCAAAUCCGGAAAAUCAAGGCUGAGGCGUGAUGACGAGGCACUACGGUGCUGAAGCAACAAAUGCCCUGCUUCCAGGAAAAGCCUCUAAGCAUCAGGUAACAUCAAAUCGUACCCCAAACCGACACAGGUGGUCAGGUAGAGAAUACCAAGGCGCUUGAGAGAACUCGGGUGAAGGAACUAGGCAAAAUGGUGCCGUAACUUCGGGAGAAGGCACGCUGAUAUGUAGGUGAAGUCCCUCGCGGAUGGAGCUGAAAUCAGUCGAAGAUACCAGCUGGCUGCAACUGUUUAUUAAAAACACAGCACUGUGCAAACACGAAAGUGGACGUAUACGGUGUGACGCCUGCCCGGUGCCGGAAGGUUAAUUGAUGGGGUUAGCGGUAACGCGAAGCUCUUGAUCGAAGCCCCGGUAAACGGCGGCCGUAACUAUAACGGUCCUAAGGUAGCGAAAUUCCUUGUCGGGUAAGUUCCGACCUGCACGAAUGGCGUAAUGAUGGCCAGGCUGUCUCCACCCGAGACUCAGUGAAAUUGAACUCGCUGUGAAGAUGCAGUGUACCCGCGGCAAGACGGAAAGACCCCGUGAACCUUUACUAUAGCUUGACACUGAACAUUGAGCCUUGAUGUGUAGGAUAGGUGGGAGGCUUUGAAGUGUGGACGCCAGUCUGCAUGGAGCCGGCCUUGAAAUACCACCCUUUAAUGUUUGAUGUUCUAACGUUGGCCCCUGACCGGGGUUGCGGACAGUGUCUGGUGGGUAGUUUGACUGGGGCGGUCUCCUCCUAAAGAGUAACGGAGGAGCACGAAGGUUGGCUAAUCCUGGUCGGACAUCAGGAGGUUAGUGCAAUGGCAUAAGCCAGCUUGACUGCGAGCGUGACGGCGCGAGCAGGUGCGAAAGCAGGUCAUAGUGAUCCGGUGGUUCUGAAUGGAAGGGCCAUCGCUCAACGGAUAAAAGGUACUCCGGGGAUAACAGGCUGAUACCGCCCAAGAGUUCAUAUCGACGGCGGUGUUUGGCACCUCGAUGUCGGCUCAUCACAUCCUGGGGCUGAAGUAGGUCCCAAGGGUAUGGCUGUUCGCCAUUUAAAGUGGUACGCGAGCUGGGUUUAGAACGUCGUGAGACAGUUCGGUCCCUAUCUGCCGUGGGCGCUGGAGAACUGAGGGGGGCUGCUCCUAGUACGAGAGGACCGGAGUGGACGCAUCACUGGUGUUCGGGUUGUCAUGCCAAUGGCACUGCCCGGUAGCUAAAUGCGGAAGAGAUAAGUGCUGAAAGCAUCUAAGCACGAAACUUGCCCCGAGAUGAGUUCUCCCUGACUCCUUGA
rnacentral:rRNA from 1 species